rnacentral:lncRNA from 1 species
UAAAUGUGUACUGUUGGGGUAACACUGUGCUAGGCCAACAAGCGGAUAAGGCAGUGAUGUAGGAACGCCGGAUGUCCCAACUCCACCAUUUCCUUCAUGCCAAACUGACUUUUUUUAUGUACAGACGUGUAAACUGGAACAUUGGUACAUUGUGGGAGGCAACCAGUCUGUCUAGAGAGACUACCAUCUGGUCACUGGCAGCAGAGAACUGGAAGGAAAGGCGGCCAAAUGAGGUGUUGGCUUUGGGGAUGAUCAGUGAGAGAUACCUGCUGGAACGUGUGCUACGGGUGGGUGUUGUAAUCGUGACCAGUGAACUGAGA